UACGGAGGAUCCAAGCGUUAUCCGGAUUUAUUGGGUUUAAAGGGUGCGUAGGCGGCCUUGUAAGUCAGGGGUGAAAGACGGUAGCUCAACUAUCGCAGUGCCUUUGAUACUGCAGGGCUUGAAUAUACUAGAGGCAGGCGGAAUGUGACAAGUAGCGGUGAAAUGCAUAGAUAUGUCACAGAACACCAAUUGCGAAGGCAGCUUGCUAUGGUAUAAUUGACGCUGAGGCACGAAAGCGUGGGGAUCAAACAGG
rnacentral:rRNA from 1 species